rnacentral:rRNA from 1 species
GGACUACUGGGGUUUCUAAUCCUGUUUGCUCCCCACGCUUUCGUGCCUCAGCGUCAGUUGCCGUCCAGAGAGUCGCUUUCGCCACCGGUAUUCCUCCUGAUAUCUACGCAUUUCACCGCUACACCAGGAAUUCCACUCUCCCCUCCGGCACUCCAGCCUCGCAGUUUCUAGCGCCCUUCCAGGGCUGAGCCCUGGGCUUUCACGCCAGACUUACCAGGCCGCCUACGCACCCUUUACGCCCAGUGAUUCCGAGCAACGCUUGCACCUUCCGUCUUACCGCGGCGGCUGGCAC